GGAAAGGCUUUUUGCGGCAUGGGAUGGGGUCGCGUCCUAUCAGCUUGUUGGUGGGGUAACGGCCUACCAAGGCGUUGACGGGUAGCCGGCCUGAGAGGGCGACCGGCCACAUUGGGACUGAGAUACGGCCCAGACUCCUACGGGAGGCAGCAGUGGGGAAUAUUGCACAAUGGGCGCAAGCCUGAUGCAGCGACGCCGCGUGCGGGAUGGAGGCCUUCGGGUUGUAAACCGCUUUUGUUCAAGGGCAAGGCACGGUUUCGGCCGUGUUGAGUGGAUUGUUCGAAUAAGCACCGGCUAACUACGUGCCAGCAGCCGCGGUAAUACGUAGGGUGCAAGCGUUAUCCGGAUUUAUUGGGCGUAAAGGGCUCGUAGGCGUUCGUCGCGUCCGGUGUGAAAGUCCAUCGCUUAACGGUGGAUCCGC
rnacentral:rRNA from 1 species